UAUUGUCUGCCUUUAGGUCUAC
rnacentral:miRNA from 1 species